rnacentral:rRNA from 1 species
UCCUACGGGAGGCAGCAGUGGGGAAUAUUGCACAAUGGGCGAAAGCCUGAUGCAGCGACGCCGCGUGAGGGAUGACGGCCUUCGGGUUGUAAACCUCUUUCAGCAGGGAAGAAGCGAAAGUGACGGUACCUGCAGAAGAAGCACCGGCUAACUACGUGCCAGCAGCCGCGGUAAUACGUAGGGUGCGAGCGUUGUCCGGAAUUAUUGGGCGUAAAGAGCUUGUAGGCGGUUUGUCGCGUCUGCUGUGAAAAUCCGGGGCUCAACCCCGGACUUGCAGUGGGUACGGGCAGACUAGAGUGUGGUAGGGGAGACUGGAAUUCCUGGUGUAGCGGUGAAAUGCGCAGAUAUCAGGAGGAACACCGAUGGCGAAGGCAGGUCUCUGGGCCACUACUGACGCUGAGAAGCGAAAGCAUGGGGAGCGAACAGGAUUAGAUACCCUGGUAGUCCAUGCCGUAAACGUUGGGCGCUAGGUGUGGGACUCAUUCCACGAGUUCCGUGCCGCAGCUAACGCAUAAGC